GACGAACGCUGGCGGCGUGCCUAAUACAUGCAAGUAGAACGCUGAAGAGAGGAGCUUGCUCUUCUUGGAUGAGUUGCGAACGGGUGAGUAACGCGUAGGUAACCUGCCUUGUAGCGGGGGAUAACUAUUGGAAACGAUAGCUAAUACCGCAUAACAAUGGAUGACACAUGUCAUUUAUUUGAAAGGGGCAAUUGCUCCACUACAAGAUGGACCUGCGUUGUAUUAGCUAGUAGGUGAGGUAACGGCUCACCUAGGCGACGAUACAUAGCCGACCUGAGAGGGUGAUCGGCCACACUGGGACUGAGACACGGCCCAGACUCCUACGGGAGGCAGCAGUAGGGAAUCUUCGGCAAUGGGGGCAACCCUGACCGAGCAACGCCGCGUGAGUGAAGAAGGUUUUCGGAUCGUAAAGCUCUGUUGUAAGUCAAGAACGAGUGUGAGAGUGGAAAGUUCACACUGUGACGGUAGCUUACCAGAAAGAGACGGCUAACUACGUG
rnacentral:rRNA from 1 species